rnacentral:rRNA from 1 species
AUGAACUCUGCUUCCUUGGCAUCCAAGUUCGUGUCCUGUGGUUUUGAGAUCUUUGCUUUCCCAUGCAACCAGUUUGGUGGGCAGGUUCUGGUGGCGAUGAUGACAGUCGUCGAGAGGUUCGUGGACUUGACGGUGUCGUGGCUGACAGGUUUCAGAGUGCGGGGAGCGGGGCACGUGUACGAUGGCUUACUCCGUCCGCUGGUGGCAAGGCACGAGGACGACAUCGACCGAGCCAGCUGGAGCUGA